rnacentral:rRNA from 1 species
UAACACGUGGGUAACCUGCCUUAUAGUGGGGGAUAGCCUUUCGAAAGGAAGAUUAAUACCGCAUAAGAUUGUAGUAUCGCAUGAUAUAGCAAUUAAAGGAGCAAUUCGCUAUAAGAUGGACCCGCGUCGCAUUAGCAGUUGGUGAGGUAAUGGCUCACCAAGGCGACGAUGCGUAGCCGACCUGAGAGGGUGAUCGGCCACAUUGGGACUGAGACACGGCCCAGACUCCUACGGGAGGCAGCAUG